CCUCCUCCUAGUCAGUCAGGGUGUCGGAUACCUCCUCCUAGUCAGUCAGGGUGUCUGAUUUCUACUCCUACUCAGUGAUGGUGUUGGAUACCUCUUGGUAUCCUAACCAGUGAGGUAAGGAGGUAAGGAGACUAUGGGGGGUAUGCUACGUUUGUGAGAAUACAUUUCACCUACUUAUAGACUCUGUACAACAGUCUUCAAACAACUCUGUGGGUGAGUAAAUACGCUGGUCUGUUUUUUUAAAUAUUUUUUUUAUUUUACCUUAAUUUAACUAGGCAAGUCAGUUAAGAAAAAAUUAUUAUUUUCAAUGACGGCCUAGGAACAGUGGGUUAACUGCCUGUUCAGGGGCAGAACGACAGAUUUUGUACCUUGUCAGCUCAGAGAUUUGAACUUGCAACCUUUCGGUUACUAGUCCAAUGCGCUUACCACUAGGCUACACUGCCGCCCAGGUCUGAACACGCUCACCGUCUCUCCCCACGUCUCAUCACAUGCUGACCGUCUCUCCCCACGUCUCGUGCUCACCGUCUCUCCCCACAUCAUGCAUGUUUGCAGCGAUGUCUUCUCAGAUAUUUGUGCCUGUGGCACGGGAGGACCAACCCUUUUCCAGAUAAGCCUGAUCCGGCAGGCUACAACAGACUGACUGACACACCUUAUUUAGGUCAGGAGAGACAGGUGUUCUAGGUAACAUAGCAAUUUAGUGAAUCUAUGAGCUGGAAGAACAAUCAUAACCUCCCUGGGGCUAAUCAGGACAAUAAAUGGCAGCCAUUUUGCUCUGUGGAAUUUAAUUGUCCCUCAGUACAAAUCAGUUGGUGCUGUGUUACUGAGGUGAAAUGUGACCACACCAUAAUCGCAAUGCAACUAUUUGUGAGCCUGGUAAAGACACCAUCGUAAGACAGGGUUUGACGAUGGUUUAAAUAUGUAGAGUGAUUGUGUCCGUGAGGAUGAAGCGUUAAAGGAGGAGUACAUACCAUCAAUCUCUGGGAUUGAGAUAGCAGGAGUAGGCGGGGCCUCAGGAGCAGGGGUGACUGGUGUUAGCUCUGGGGCAGGAGUAGGGGCGGCUGGUGUUAGCUCAGGGGCGGCUUCGGGAGCAGGGGUAGGAGUCUCUACUGCAGGCUCUGGGGCUGGAGCUGCCACCUCACCUGGGGCCUCCACUGGUCCUGGGGCCUCCACAGGCUCAUUGGCAACGGCUGCUACAGGGGCCUCCACAGCCACAGGGGUGGUUAUUGGCUCUGCUGCAGGCUCAGCAGCAACAACAAGGUCAGUUAUGGGGUCACUGGGUGCAGGGGCCUCCACAGCGGGGGCCCCCUCUGGGACAGCGGCCACAGGCUCAGCAGCAGGGGUUACUGGUUCAGGGACAGCGGCCACAGGGGCUGGAGCAUCUUUGGUCUCCUCUUUUGGGGCUGGAGCUGGGGUCUCCGCUGCUGGAGCUGGGGUCUCCUCUGUCGGGGCUGGAGCUGGGGUCUCCUCUGUCGGGGCUGGAGCUGGGGUCUCCUCUGUCGGGGCUGGAGCUGGGGUCUCCUCUGUCGGGGCUGGAGCUGGGGUCUCCUCUGUCGGGGCUGGAGCUGGGGUCUCCUCUGUCGGGGCUGGAGCUGCCUCUGGGACAGUUUCAGUCACCUCGACUGGGGCAGCAGCUUCCACAGGUGCAGCUGCCUCGACCAGGGUAGCCACCUCCACUGCAGCUCCAGUUUCAACAACCGGAGCCUCCUCAGACACCACUGUCUCAGCAGGAGCCUCUGCCACAGGAGCGGCCUCAACCACGACAGCCUCAACAGGGUCCACCACCUCCACUGGGACCACAGCCUCUACUAAGACCACAUCCUCUGAAGGGACGGCUGCAGCCUCAGCAGGGGCUUCAGGGGGAACGUCUGGCUCGGCUGCAGCCAGCAUCUCCAGGACCUGGUCCUCCUCCCAUCCAGACCCCAUGGUCUCCAGGGCCUCUGAGGCCAUGAUGACGGGUUCCUCAGAGUCAUCAGUCAGGGCACUCUGGACAGGAAGCUGCAUCUGGUCAGCGAUGGUCUCCGUGUCCUCCGAGAUGUGACCAUUCCCGACAACUGGAAUAAAAACACAGAAAAACAUGGAGGUUCAUGAGAGAAAUGUAUUUCUAGGUUUAACCUGACAUCUGACACCAGAUCCACCUGUAACGUUCCUGAUAGAAGAUCACUGCAAACCGUUUCCGCGCUUUAUUGAAUACCAAACAUAUUGGUUAAGUUGAACUAAUGAAGGAUCUGAUAGGCUGGAAGUUAUGACCUUGGUGUGUCUGUGUUGUCAUGAACCAAUCCAGUAACACCUAAAACAUUCCAUGUCUGUAGAGCCUUGUAUGAUAAGUCCAUUGUGAGAAGGCCUUUCUAGGGAGUUUUUCCUAGCCACCGUGCUUCUACACCUGCAUUGCUUGCUGUUUGGGGUUUUAGGCCGGGUUUCUGUACAGCACUUUGAGAUAUCAGCUGAUGUACGAAGGGCAAUAUA
ensembl:lncRNA